rnacentral:rRNA from 1 species
AUGUAUAACGAAGAUUGUGGGCACUUGGUUAGGAAUAAAAAGAAGAAAACAUAUGUGUGUGUACAUAAUACUAGGUUUGUAAGGAAAUCAAAGGCGCUUGAUCUCUCAGACGCUAGCAUGUAUUUUUCAUUCUGUACAGUAUUACUCAUCCCCAAAAAGUUUUGGAGUAAGCAUCAGUGGUGUAAAUCAUCCCCUGUACUUGUGUGUAGAGUUUAUGAACUUGUGCUUGGUAGAAUAUUCCUGUCGUGUCUAUCUUCAAGAUUCGGAUGUUUCCGGUUGCACUUUACAAUUUAUCAUUAUCGAUCCCUUCGGAGAAAGAAGGAGUAG